AAUGUAUUCUUUUUGUCCAGCCUGUAUAGUUGAAUUCUCAUACAUUAAAGCUAUUUAGGUCUAGCUAUGGCUUUCACUUCUUGGGAAGUUGUGGUGCUAUUACCAGAAAAAUUCAAACAGAACUAUGCAUAAAAAGAUUUUUCACCAUUCAGGAGGUUCUUGGAGUCUCAGAUUAAGAUUUCCUGGUACUGUCAAUCUCUAUCUAUGACACUUCAGCAGAAUGACACUUUUGUGGCUUCAGAGACACUGACACCUACUUUCAUAGCUGCAUAGGACUUUAAAACUCCCCCAAAGUGCUACAAACAAAAAGUACUCUUCAAGUGCUGUCAACCUAAAGGUUAACAGGUUGAAGGGACCCUGGGCUAAGGAAGCACAAGCUGGAGACACCAAAAUGGUCUUCGCAACUCGCCUCUAUAUUUUCUGCCCUGCUCCUAAGCCAGCCUGUUGGCCGACUGGCCCUUCUCCACAGAUGUCAUCUUGAGCCUCUUACAGAGUUUCAGCACUGACAUUAAUGACAAGAUGGAUCACCUACAGGACAACCUUGGAUCCUCAACCAGCCUGAUUAAGCAUUGACACUGCAUUUGUCACCACCAGCUCUGAUGGUUUGGACAUGUAGAAAUGUAUUGCAGGAGAAUAUGCAAACAGCUGCUGUAAGGUGAGCUGAUCGGGACAACUGCCAGCAGGCAGAAGGGAAGGCAUAAUUAAUGGGCACCCUUCAGCAGAGCUCAGAGCAGACCAAACGCCAAUGCAGAAGGCUCAAGAAAGAGGCAAACAGACUAGCCACUGCUCCAGGAUGACUGUGGCUCUUUAUGAGUGAAGAGAAAGGGUGGAGACUGAAGACAGAACUGGGGACAGUGACAGGCUUGGGGAAGAACAGCUGAUUCAGCAGUCCCAAGCAUCUGAACACAAGGUGGACAUUCUCCAGGGUGACAUCGCAAAAUACAUGGGUGAAGACAACCUAGUGGCCGUGACUUGGAGCACCCUUCCUCACAAUGAAGGCAUUCUGGGCCAGCCUGAAAAACAGCAUGGAAAUAAAUCACCUAAGUACAAGGGACUGGCUUAAAAAUGGUCUAAUGAAAUGUCAAAAGAGUUCUCCUGUGGAGCUUCGGAGAAGUUUCCUUACCCUUUAAAAAAAGAAAAGAAGAAAAGGAAAAGGGACCUCGGUGACAACGCUGUGAACAUCUAUGGAUUCCGCAUUCAAGUACUUUGUCACAACUGUCUCCACAACAGUUUGAUGGGUCCACGUGCCAGCAAGAUAGAGAUACUCAUCAGGAAGUUGGCCAUGCAAGUUUGAAAUUUGAGAGAAGAAUCACAAAAAUGCAAAGGCUGUGCUCAAAUAAAAAUGAACUCCUUUGGUAAAGUCCUGGUCUUCAAUUCACUAAUGUUAAGGUGGGAACCAUCCCAUUACUCUGGAAUGUAUGUUCUUAAAUCAAGUGAUCAGAUUUUCUUACAUUGGUAGAGGCAAAGGAAUGGGAAUCAUAUACUAAUGGAUUUUAUACAAAACACAGCAUAAAAAAAUUACCAUAACACUUUUAAGAUUAAAACCAGAUUAAAAAUUAAUAAAACUUACAAAUGACAAAUGUUUUCUACAUACUAGACUGAAAGACAUUAUUGCAUUUUCUAUUUUAAAAUAAAAUGACUCUAUCUAGAAUGGUUUAAGUGAGUUCCUCUCAAAGCAGAAAACUUCUUAAGAUUAUUUUCUAUAAGGUCCUUCAGAAACAAGAAACCC
rnacentral:lncRNA from 1 species